GUGGGCCGCUAUGGCUGGCUGACCCCACUCAUCGUCAACCGGCACCACGGCAGCUGCGGAGAGAACCUCCUAAUUGUUAUUAGGCUAUCCGAGAACCCGUGGUGAGAGCUUCUCUCCAUGUCACAACUAACCAGUGAGGACUUGCGAGAGGAACUGAAGAAAAAGGAAAAAAGCCAUGUUAAGUUUUCCGUUUGCUGGGUGUCGGCCGAAUGGCUGACUCGACGUAUCAAGAGGCAAGAUGAACCCUAAAGCCAGUGGAUGAACCAAGAGAUCCAGGUUGAAGCGUGUGGGUGGUGUGGGCACUGAAUGUACCAAGAUUCUCUGGAGGGAAAUAUACAUGCUGGAAUGCAAGAAGGCCCUGGCGAAUCUCGAAGACAAGAUAUAGGCAUUUUUGUGUUUAUUUUUACUUUUCCGUUGGGUGUCUGUUGGUGGAAUGGUCUAGGGGGUUUGUAUUGUGCUCUGCAGAAACUUGGUAUCUUUGGUCAAUGUCAACAAGUAGCAGACAACAUAUUGGAUUGGUUGAAUGAAUGUGUGCUUUUUCUGUUGGCUCAAA